GGGGCAUUUGGACAUGGGCGCAAGCCUGAUCCAGCCAUGCCGCGUGUGUGAUGAAGGCCUUCGGGUUGUAAAGCUCUUUUGUCAGGAGACGAUAAUCCACGGUGAUCUAAUUACCAAUAUGGCCGCGUGACGGCUACCUGGCCGAAUAACGCACCGGUAUAACUUCGUGCCAGCAGCCGCGAGUAAU
rnacentral:rRNA from 1 species